UGUGUGUGUGUGUGUGUGUGUGUCCCAGUUCCUAUACUAUAGAAAACAGCUUAUUUUUGCUUGGCCCUUUCAGCCAGCAUAUUUUCACUUUUGCUCAGUAUAUUUCAUUAUAUGGAUGUAUGCUACCUCUUGAUGGAAAUUAGUUUUUUUAUUGGAAAUUUAACUGUGAACACUGGGACCAUUUAUGUACAAAUUAUAUGCUAGCAUGCUUUCAUUUCUCUUGAAUUUUAUUUUCACUUUAAACCAGAAGUUGAUUUAAACAACAAGGUGGCUGGCUUGAAGAGAAAACUAUCUAGGAUCAUCUUCAAGGAUAAUUCACAGGUAGUCCUACACGUAACAGCUAUAUACAAAAAAGUUACAAAAUUGCCCUUGGUUUUACAACAAUAAAUAAAAAGCACUAAAUUCUCCAAUCGGAUAAGGUAUUGUGGAGGUUUCAGUGUAACUGGCCCCCAUAAGCUCAAAAUGAGUGGUACUAUUAGGAGGUGUGGCUUUGGGGUAGGUGUGGCCUUGUUGGAGGAAGUAUAACACUUAGGAGAGGGGUCUGAGGUCUCUUUUGCUCAAGCUUUGCUCAGUGUCACAGUCUAUUUCCUGUUGCCAGCUGAUCAAGAUGCAGCCAGCACCAGGUCUGCCUGCACGCCACCAUGCACCCUGCAGUGACAAUAAUGGAUUGAAUCUGUCAACUGCCAUGGUGAGCACCAGAGUCACUUCGGCUGCCACUUCACAAAAGUGACAACAGGUCCCCACUGAAGGAGCAUACAGGCAGCACCAGGGGUGGCAGAUUAAGGAGACAGGGUUUCUCUGUAUAGCCCUGGUUUUCCUGGAACUCACUCAGUAGAC